UGUCAUCCCUAAUCCCUAACUCGCUCACUUUCCAAAUUUGCCGGACAAGUUCGGACGUGUUCUGUAUUGUUCUAUAGUGUUCUCCUGAGGUAAGACUGAUUACUACCAUUUUUCAUCUGCUUUUAUCUGAACAAUCCUCCAAGUAAAUGUCUUGUAAACGGCAGCAGCUCGGUGAUGCCAAGCGGGCCUCCGAAGCAUUCCCAGGCCAUAGAUGAGUCCCCAUUUUCCAGUCAAACUUGCCUAGUUCAGUUCUAAAUGAUGAUUCCAAUAGACAAGCAUAUGGCUGAAUUUGUACUGUCGAUUAAUUUGCACUGAUUGUUAAGGCUUAGAAGUAGAAUGCGUUUUGCGGGUUUGCUGGUGGUUAAAUGAGUUCGUUUUGCAGGCUUUUCAUCAUGGCGGACGCUCCGGUUGCUUCAGAAAACUUCAUUAUGGACCGGGUUUUGCGCUGGAUUUCUGGGAGCCUUAAAGAACACCAGCACCCCCAUUUGCCCCCAAAUUCGUGAUGAUUUACAUAGACAAGCAUAUGACUGAAGGUUCUGUUGAUACUUUCCGCUGAUUAUCCUUUGUAAAGACUCCAAAGGAGCUUCGCACGUGGAGGCGCUUUCAUUGCUGCAGGUCUGGCGUAGUUGAAAGGUGAGUUGCAAUGGCUCAGAAGUUUGGAUGUUGAACAGCACAAUGAUGACACUAAUUACCGUCUGAUAGUCGAAUGAUUAUAACUUUCGGCUGCAUUUAUUUGCUGAUUGACUUCAAAUGGUCUCACAAAGUAUUGGUUGGGAGACCGCAGUACUAAACGAGUUUGUUUUAGGAGUUUCCCGGCCUAGAAUGGGCAAUGAGUGAAGACUGCAGAGACUAACUAGGUGUGGGAGAAUGGAGACACUGAGUCUUCGUCGGAGACCCAAAAAGGUUCUCUGUCCAGUAGUAUCCAGUCAAUCGAGGGUUCCGGACUGAAUUCCUCCUAAUUUUGCGGGUGGUGGAGCUGGGUAACAUUGAGAACCAUCAGCAACAGCACUGACCAAGGCACCACACAAGGGAGGCAACAAAAGUAAUUUCUGAUCUUCUACGUAGAUUAGCACCAUAUUUUCCUUAGUUAUAAUGAUUCUUCAAAUAUACGCUAUGAAUCAUUUGGUGAUGUCAUCUAAGUUCUGAAUGAUACUUUAAAGUUUUUGUAUAAAUUAGUGGUUUGAGCCUGAUUUGAGAUUGAAAACCCUGAUGCAAGAAGGGGAUAAGUAACAUUUAUUGGCUUUUACGCGUGACAAAAAAAUACGUUUUAAAAAGUAUUUAAAUGUUACUCAAGGCAGAGACCGAAAGUUUAAAUAUUUUGGUGUACAUUAGAUAAAGUUAUUCUAAAAAAUAAACUAGAAAUAUAGGAAAAAUGGUUUGGUUAUUCCAUAAUAUGGCAAAUUUCCAGUCAAGAUAUUUCAAAUUAACUAACGGUAAAGGUGGGAGAUAAAUCCGAAAGUAUUAAAAAAGACGGGUUUUAUUUAGAAAACAAUAUUCGGUAACUAACACAGGUUUUUGACGCACCAUCUACAUUGAAAACUAAUUUUAGAAUGUGCACCAAUAUCAAAAAUUUUCGUCGAGUCCACACGAAAGUAUUGGAAACUAUUUGCUCAAAUACUAUGUCAAAGGAAAGAAUGGAAACCACAGAUUAUGUUGAAACUCUGUUUAUAACACAGUAGGAAUAAACAAGACACUAGUUUUAAAAUACAGUUCCAAUCGCUUAGCAGUAGAUGCUAAAACUAAGCUACAAAUCUAGAAAAUCUUAAUAUUUAUAAAGUACACUUUGGGUUGCACGCUAGAAAACUAUGUAUAUUACUGUAGAUACUUUUACAAUCUUAGAUUUUAACAAUAAUUCAGAGUCAUAGCUAUUAUAUUGUGGACCCGUUCUUCCGAAAUAUGUUUUACUCAUAAUAAUAGCUGAAAAUAUAAAAAAGGUCCUUUUAAGAAAUUUCUUCAGCAAAUACGUGUGGAAUUUUGAAAUUUYGCAUCCAUUUUCAUGUAAAUGUAUCUCACAAAUGUCUUCAUAAAAUAUUUUAACAAUACUGUUACAAAAUUCGAGCUUUACUGAAAUUGCRUAUUUUUGGAAACAAUAAAUUAUUUGAUAUAUUCUUUC